AACGCGAAGAACCUUACCAAGGCUUGACAUAUACGAGAAAGGGCUAGAAAUAGUCAACUCUUUGGACACUCGUAUACAGGUGGUGCAUGGUUGUCGUCAGCUCGUGUCGUGAGAUGUUGGGUUAAGUCCCGCAACGAGCGCAACCCUCGUUCUAUGUUGCCAGCACGUUAUGGUGGGAACUCAUAGGAGACUGCCGGGGUCAACUCGGAGGAAGG
rnacentral:rRNA from 1 species